rnacentral:rRNA from 1 species
CUAACAAGGAUUCCCCUAGUAACUGCGAGUGAAGCGGGAAAAGCUCAAAUUUAAAAUCUGGCAGUCUUUUGGCUGUCCGAGUUGUAAUCUAGAGAAGUGCUAUCCGUGCUGGACCAUGUAUAAGUCUCCUGGGAUGGAGCAUCACAGAGGGUGAGAAUCCCGUCUAUGACAUGGACUCCCAGUGCAUUGUGAUGUGCUCUCAAAGAGUCGAGUUGUUUGGGAAUGCAGCUCUAAAUGGGUGGUAAAUUCCAUCUAAAGCUAAAUAUUGGCGAGAGACCGAUAGCGAACAAGUACCGUGAGGGAAAGAUGAAAAGAACUUUGGAAAGAGAGUUAAACAGUACGUGAAAUUGUUGAAAGGGAAACGCUUGAAGUCAGUCACAUUGGCUGGGGAUCAACUCUGCUCUUUUGCUGGGUGUACUUCCUAGUUAAUGGGUCAGCAUCAAUUUUGAUCACUGGAAAAAGGUAGAGGGAAUGUGGCAUCUUAGGAUGUGUUAUAGCCCUCUAUUGUAUACAGUGGUUGGGAUUGAGGAUAUCAGCACGCCGUAAGGCUGGGUCAUUGACCACACUCGUGCUUAGGAUGCUGGCAUAAUGGCUUUAAUCGACCCGUCUUGAAACACGGACCAAGGAGUCUAACAUGCCUGCGAGUGUUUGGGUGGAAAACCCAAGCGCGUAAUGAAAGUGAAAGUUGAGAUCCCUGUCAUGGGGAGCAUCGACGCCCGGACCAGAACUUUUGGGACGGAUCUGCGGUAGAGCAUGUAUGUUGGGACCCGAAAGAUGGUGAACUAUGCCUGAAUAGGGCGAAGCCAGAGGAAACUCUGGUGGAGGCUCGUAGCGAUUCUGACGUGCAAAUCGAUCGUCGAAUU